rnacentral:lncRNA from 1 species
GUGGAUCAAUAUUUUACAACGUGUGGUACAAUCUCUCUGUUUCAUAUAACAAAACCUGAUAAGUCUGUUCGGUUGUAAACAUGAAGAUGCUUUCAAGACACUCUCCAUUGGCACCAUUUUCUUCAAAUGCUUGGUGAUAACCAGCAAGGUUUAUCCCUUCCAACCGUAACCCCACACCCCACAUCCUGCAAGUGAACAACUACUUUAUCAAGACAACAAAGAGUAUUUUGAAUUAUAAGCAGCAAUCUAGAGCUUGCACUAUUAUAAUUCUCUUGCUUGAAAAUGAUCUAUGUUGAUCUAAGUGAAGAAAGAAAAUAGAAUAGCUCGUUUGAAUAAAAAUAGCAGAGCACCAUUGUUUUUUUUUUGCAAUUCCAGAGUGUUAUUUCUUGAAAUCUUGAAAAUGCUUCUAUUGCACAUUAACAACAUUGGACAAUUAGUUAUAAAAAUACAUUAUUCAAAAGAGAAUGAUUCAGUUCCAUACAAUCCUAUACUGAAAAAAUGCACUCUUUCGACUCAUUUCCAAAUCAUACUGGGUAACAUGAACAUUUCAGUUGAGUUACCACACCUUUCUCAUUUGAAAAUGUAUCUCUUGAUUCAGUAUCACCACCGAGGCACCCACCAUUUAUACCGAUUUUUUUAGUACCUAUGAAUAAUGUAAACAUAAUAUUGCUAGGGAGUUGG